rnacentral:rRNA from 1 species
UACGUAGGGGGCAAGCGUUGUCCGGAUUUAUUGGGCGUAAAGAGCGUGUAGGCGGCCAUGUAGGUCCGUUGUGAAAACUCGAGGCUCAACCUCGAGACGCCGAUGGAAACCAUGUGGCUAGAGUCCGGAAGAGGAGAGUGGAAUUCCUGGUGUAGCGGUGAAAUGCGCAGAUAUCAGGAAGAACACCCGUGGCUAAGGCGGCUCUCUAGUACGGUACUGACGCUGAGACGCGAAAGCGUGGGGAGCGAAAAGG